rnacentral:rRNA from 1 species
UACGGGGGGAGCAAGCGUUGUUCGGAUUUACUGGGCGUAAAGGGCGCGUAGGCGGCCACCGCAAGUCGACUGUGAAAUCUCCGGGCUUAACCCGGAAGGGUCAGCCGAUACUGCGGGGCUAGAGUGCAGAAGGGGCAACUGGAAUUCUCGGUGUAGCGGUGAAAUGCGUAGAUAUCGAGAGGAACACCUGCGGCGAAGGCGGGUUGCUGGGCUGACACUGACGCUGAGGCGCGAAAGCUAGGGGAGCGAACGGG